rnacentral:rRNA from 1 species
ACGAACGCUGGCGGCGUGCUUCACACAUGCCAGUCGAACGGAAAGGCCCUGCUUUUGUGGGGUGCUCGCGUGGCGAACGGGUGAGUAACACGUGAGUAACCUGCCCUUGACUUUGGGAUAACUUCAGGAAACUGGGGCUAAUACCGGAUAGGAGCUCCUGCUGCAUGGUGGGGGUUGGAAAGUUUCGGCGGUUGGGGAUGGACUCGCGGCUUAUCAGCUUGUUGGUGGGGUAGUGGCUUACCAAGGCUUUGACGGGUAGCCGGCCUGAGAGGGUGACCGGCCACAUUGGGACUGAGAUACGGCCCAGACUCCUACGGGAGGCAGCAGUGGGGAAUAUUGCACAAUGGGCGGAAGCCUGAUGCAGCAACGCCGCGUGCGGGAUGACGGCCUUCGGGUUGUAAACCGCUUUCGCCUGUGACGAAGCGUGAGUGACGGUAAUAGGUAAAGAAGCACCGGCUAACUACGUG